rnacentral:rRNA from 1 species
AGCGAACGCUGGCGGCAGGCUUAACACAUGCAAGUCGAACGGGCACUUCGGUGCUAGUGGCAGGCGGGUGAGUAACACGUGGGAACGUACCUUUCGGUUCGGAAUAAUCCAGGGAAACUUGGACUAAUACCGGAUACGCCCUUCGGGGGAAAGAUUCAUCGCCGAUAGAUCGGCCCGCGUCUGAUUAGCUAGUUGGUGAGGUAAUGGCUCACCAAGGCGACGAUCAGUAGCUGGUCUGAGAGGAUGAUCAGCCACAUUGGGACUGAGACACGGCCCAAACUCCUACGGGAGGCAGCAGUGGGGAAUAUUGGACAAUGGGCGCAAGCCUGAUCCAGCCAUGCCGCGUGAGUGAUGAAGGCCUUAGGGUUGUAAAGCUCUUUUGUCCGGGAAGAUAAUGACUGUACCGGAAGAAUAAGCCCCGGCUAACUUCGUG